GUAGGUGGCAAGCGUUGUCCGGAAUUAUUGGGCGUAAAGCGCGCGCAGGCGGUUCUUUAAGUCUGAUGUGAAAGCCCACGGCUCAACCGUGGAGGGUCAUUGGAAACUGGAGAACUUGAGUACAGAAGAGGAAAGCGGAAUUCCACGUGUAGCGGUGAAAUGCGUAGAGAUGUGGAGGAACACCAGUGGCGAAGGCGGCUUUCUGGUCUGUAACUGACGCUGAGGCGCGAAAGCGUGGGGAGCAAACAGGGAUUAGAUACCCUGGUAGUCCACGCCGUAAACGAUGAGUGCUAAGUGUUUAGGGGGUUUCCGCCCCCUUAGUGCUGCAGCUAACGCAUUAAGCACUCCGCCUGGGGAGUACGGCCGCAAGGCUG
rnacentral:rRNA from 1 species